GCCUAGAGAGGGGUUUAUGUCCUAUCAGCUUGUUGGUAGGGUAAUGGCCUACCAAGGCAAAGACGGGUAGCCGGUUUAAGAGGAUGGUCGGCCACACUGGGACUGAGACACUGCCCAGACUUCUACGGAAGGCUGCAGUCGAGAAUCUUUCGCAAUGCCCGAAAGGGUGACGAAGCGACGCCGCGUGGGUGAGGAAGGCCUUCGGGUUGUAAAGCCCUGUCAGGAGUUAUGAAAUGUAAGUGCGAUAAUACUGUGCUUAUUUGACAAAGGCUCCAAAGGAAGCCACGGCUAACUCUGUGCCAGCAGCCGCGGUAAUACAGAGGUGGCAAGCGUUGUUCGGAAUUAUUGGGCGUAAAGAGCACGUAGGUGGAUUUGUAAGUCAGAUGUGAAAGCCUUCUGUUCAACGGAAGAAUUGCAUCUGAAACUGUAAACCUUGAGCGUAGGAGGG
rnacentral:rRNA from 1 species